rnacentral:rRNA from 1 species
UUGGCCCCUGCUCUUAUCCUUGCCAGUCGAGCGGACAGAUGGGAGCUUGCUCCCUGAUGUUAGCGGCGGACGGGUGAGUAACACGUGGGUAACCUGCCUGUAAGACUGGGAUAACUCCGGGAAACCGGGGCUAAUACCGGAUGCUUGUUUGAACCGCAUGGUUCAAACAUAAAAGGUGGCUUCGGCUACCACUUACAGAUGGACCCGCGGCGCAUUAGCUAGUUGGUGAGGUAAUGGCUCACCAAGGCAACGAUGCGUAGCCGACCUGAGAGGGUGAUCGGCCACACUGGGACUGAGACACGGCCCAGACUCCUACGGGAGGCAGCAGUAGGGAAUCUUCCGCAAUGGACGAAAGUCUGACGGAGCAACGCCGCGUGAGUGAUGAAGGUUUUCGGAUCGUAAAGCUCUGUUGUUAGGGAAGAACAAGUACCGUUCGAAUAGGGCGGUACCUUGACGGUACCUAACCAGAAAGCCACGGCUAACUACGUGCCAGCAGCCGCGGUAAUACGU